rnacentral:rRNA from 1 species
CUUGGUCAUUUAGAGGAAGUAAAAGUCGUAACAAGGUUUCCGUAGGUGAACCUGCGGAAGGAUCAUUAAUGAGUUGUGAUGGGGUUUGAUGCUGGCAGCCAAUUCUUGGAUGCAUGUGCUUGCCCUAACAAUCAUCUUCCAAACACCUGUGCACAUUUUUGAGGGAGUUUUGAGUUGAUUGCCGUUUUUGGGCGAUUUUCUUGCAUUCCCUUAAAUCAUUAUACGCUAUUAACAAUGUUGAACGUGCUCUGUGCCGCGAGGCCAUUAAUAUAAUACAACUUUUAACAACGGAUCUCUUGGCUCUCGCAUCGAUGAAGAACGCAGC